rnacentral:rRNA from 1 species
GGGAUAACACUUAGAAAUAGGUGCUAAUACCGCAUAAGCGCACGGUUCCGCAUGGAACAGUGUGAAAAACUCCGGUGGUAUACGAUGGAUCCGCGUCUGAUUAGCCAGUUGGCGGGGUAACGGCCCACCAAAGCGACGAUCAGUAGCCGGCCUGAGAGGGUGAACGGCCACAUUGGGACUGAGACACGGCCCAAACUCCUACGGGAGGCAGCAGUGGGGAAUAUUGCACAAUGGGGGAAACCCUGAUGCAGCGACGCCGCGUGAGUGAAGAAGUAUUUCGGUACGUAAAGCUCUAUCAGCAGGGAAGAAAAAAAGUCCUUUGGACUUUGGACGGUACCUGACCAAGAAGCCCCGGCUAACUACGUGCCAGCAGCCGCGGUAAUACGUAGGGGGCAAGCGUUAUCCGGAUUUACUGGGUGUAAAGGGAGCGUAGACGGCAGCGCAAGUCUGGAGUGAAAUGCCGGGGCCCAACCCCGGAACUGCUUUGGAAACUGUGCAGCUGGAGUGCAGGAGAGGUAAGCGGAAUUCCUAGUGUAGCGGUGAAAUGCGUAGAUAUUAGGAGGAACACCAGUGGCGAAGGCGGCUUACUGGACUGUAACUGACGUUGAGGCUCGAAAGCGUGGGGAGCAAACAGGAUUAGAUACCCUGGUAGUCCACGCCGUAAACGAUGAUUACUAGGUGUCGGGGGGCCAAGGCCCUUCGGUGCCGCCG